UACGUAGGUGGCAAGCGUUGUCCGGAUUUAUUGGGUUUAAAGGGUGCGUAGGCGGUCUCCUAAGUCAGUUGUGAAAUACGGCAGCUUAACUGUCGAGGUGCAAUUGAUACUGGGAAACUUGAGUACUGAUGAGGUAUGCGGAAUGGACGGUGUAGCGGUGAAAUGCUUAGAUAUCGUCCAGAACACCGAUAGCGAAGGCAGCAUACUAAGGAGUAACUGACGCUGAGGCACGAAAGUGUGGGGAUCAAACAGG
rnacentral:rRNA from 1 species